rnacentral:sRNA from 1 species
CCGCGCCGCCACCAUGCUAAACAACCUGACGGACUGCGAGGACGGCGAUGGGGGAGCCAACCCGGAUCCCUGACCCCUCUCCCUUCUCAGGUGAUGGCAA